AAGUUUAGGUUAACAAAACCCAGGACCUUCAAAGUCCUAAAUAGGGAUUAUGCCCUAACUUCUG
rnacentral:tRNA from 1 species